rnacentral:lncRNA from 1 species
UGGCACUAUAUUGAAUAAACAUCAUGAAAAAACAGAAAACGUAACCCUACGUUUAAUUUGGUUUGAAGGGGACAAAAUGUCGGACAUUGUUAUUCAACUCGAAAAAUAAGAAUUUAUUUUUAAAAUUCCUGAUUAUUGCAUGAGGCGAAAGUGUGAUCUUUGUACAAAAUACUAGUAUAAGAAUUAUUUACUUUCGACAUGGGGAUUGCUCUGGAAUUCCCUUUUUUUGAACAAUUUAACAAAAAUUACGACAACCUUUCGUGCAUGGGACACAUAACUUGUAUCAUCUUGAUCCCCUUUUUUUAUAUUUCCGUCUUUUCGAGAGAAAAAAAAUCGACAUUACGUCAACGCCCAAUUAUGAAUUGCUUAUUCUAGACAAACUUUUAUAUCGUUUGGUAAUACAAUUUAUAUGUUUUUACGGUAUUCAGAAUUUCACAAAACUAAAAGUGUAACGCGGG